GGUGCUAUAGCCGCUGGAAUGGCAUAGGCGUGCAAAGCCGAAGUUGUUGGUUCGAAUCCAACUAGCACCA
rnacentral:tRNA from 1 species